rnacentral:pre_miRNA from 1 species
UCGGUCUAAAUCAUUGUGAGUCUAUAAUUUGAAAAUUGAACUCACACAAAAUAGUGGGACAUACAUUGAUUUCACCCAA